GCCCGCUUAGCUCAGUUGGAAGAGCAGUGCAUUCGUAAUGCACAGGUUGUCGGUUCGAAUCCGACAGUGGGCU
rnacentral:tRNA from 1 species